CCUACGGGAGGCAGCAGUGAGGAAUAUUGGUCAAUGGGCGCUAGCCUGAACCAGCCAAGUAGCGUGAAGGAUGACUGCCCUAUGGGUUGUAAACUUCUUUUAUAUGGGAAUAAAGUGCAGUAUGUAUACUGCUUUGCAUGUACCUUAUGAAUAGGGAUCGGCUAACUCCGUGCCAGCAGCCGCGGUAAUACGGAGGAUCCGAGCGUUAUCCGGAUUUAUUGGGUUUAAAGGGAGCGUAGGCGGGUUGUUAAGUCAGUUGUGAAAGUUUGCGGCUCAACCGUAAAAUUGCAGUUGAUACUGGCAUCCUGGAGUACAGUAGAGGUAGGCGGAAUUCGUGGUGUAGCGGUGAAAUGCUUAGAUAUCACGAAGAACUCCGAUUGCGAAGGCAUCCUGCUGGACUGUAACUGACGCUGAUGCUCGAAAGUGUGGGUAUCAAACAGGAUUAGAUACCCCAGUAGUC
rnacentral:rRNA from 1 species